UACGUAGGGGGCUAGCGUUGUCCGGAUUUAUUGGGCGUAAAGAGCGUGUAGGCGGCCAGGUAGGUCUGCUGUGAAAACUCGAGGCUCAACCUCGAGACGCCGGUGGAAACCAUCUAGCUAGAGUCCGGAAGAGGAGAGUGGAAUUCCUGGUGUAGCGGUGAAAUGCGCAGAUAUCAGGAAGAACACCCGUGGCGAAGGCGGUUCCCUGGGACGGUACUGACGCUGAGACGCGAAAGCGUGGGGAGCGAACAGG
rnacentral:rRNA from 1 species